GCAUGGCUUAUAUACAUUAACCAAAAUAUUCUUCGGCCACUGGUCUAUUCUUUACAUGCCAUAAAAUAAUUCAAAACAUAACAAUAACAAGCAGUGGAUAGUGAUAGUGUGACUAGUUGCUGACGAUCCCCGAGCCUGUAGCUUCCAAAUGAGAUCUAUAAAACAGAGGAAACAAAGUAAACGGAGUAAGCAUUACAAUGCUUAGUAAGUUU
rnacentral:lncRNA from 1 species